rnacentral:rRNA from 1 species
CCUACGGGGCGCAGCAGUGAGGAAUAUUGGUCAAUGGACGAGAGUCUGAACCAGCCAAGUAGCGUGAAGGAUGACUGCCCUAUGGGUUGUAAACUUCUUUUAUAUGGGAAUAAAAUGUUCCACGUGUGGGAUUUUGUAUGUACCAUAUGAAUAAGGAUCGGCUAACUCCGUGCCAGCAGCCGCGGUAAUACGGAGGAUCCGAGCGUUAUCCGGAUUUAUUGGGUUUAAAGGGAGCGUCGGUGGAUUGUUAAGUCAGUUGUGAAAGUUUGCGGCUCAACCGUAAAAUUGCAGUUGAAACUGGCAGUCGUGAGUACAGUAGAGGUGGGCGGAAUUCGUGGUGUAGCGGUGAAAUGCUUAGAUAUCACGAAGAACUCCGAUUGCGAAGGCAGCUCACUGGACUGCAACUGACACUGAGGCUCGAAAGUGUGGGUAUCAAACAGGAUUAGAUACCCUGGUAGUC